rnacentral:rRNA from 1 species
AUUGAACGCUGGCGGCAUGCCUUACACAUGCAAGUCGAACGGUAACAGGUCUUCGGAUGCUGACGAGUGGCGAACGGGUGAGUAAAGUAUCGGAACGUGCCCAGUCUGGGGGAUAACGCAGCGAAAGCUGUGCUAAUACCGCAUACGAUCUACGGAUGAAAGCGGGGGAUUCGCAAGGACCUCGCGCGAUUGGAGCGGCUGAUAUCAGAUUAGGUAGUUGGUGAGGUAAAGGCUCACCAAGCCUGCGAUCUGUAGCUGGUCUGAGAGGACGACCAGCCACACUGGAACUGAGACACGGUCCAGACUCCUACGGGAGGCAGCAGUGGGGAAUUUUGGACAAUGGGCGCAAGCCUGAUCCAGCAAUGCCGCGUGCAGGAUGAAGGCCUUCGGGUUGUAAACUGCUUUUGUACGGAACGAAAAGGCUCUUUCUAAUACAGGGGGCUCAUGACGGUACCGUAAGAAUAAGCACCGGCUAACUACGUG